rnacentral:ribozyme from 13 species
UUUUUUUUUUUUUUUUUUUUUUUUCUU